UAGAAUUCCUGCAGGAUCGCAUGCCCACCUAGAGAACCAUUCCCUGAGGCCAAGUAUACAGUGGAUUCUGAUUGGCCAGACCUAGAGCUACUACAAAGGACUACAGAGUUCUUACGUGAAUCUGCUCAAGAUUUGCUGUGACUUGCUGUAGAAGGUAUUUCCUUUGGACCACUUUUUGGAAGUAUACUGAGUGGGUACAGAGGAAAGGCCCUAUGAGGAUACAGCAAGAAGGCAGCCAUCUGCAAGUCAGGAAGAGACCUAUCAUCAGAAACCAACCAUGCUGGCACCUUGAUCUUGGACUUUGAGUCUCCAGAACUGUGAGAA
rnacentral:lncRNA from 10 species